GUCGACGGUGAAAGAGGAGCUUGCUCCUCUGGAUCAGUGGCGAACGGGUGAGUAACACGUGAGUAACCUGCCCUUGACUCUGGGAUAAGCGUUGGAAACGACGUCUAAUACCGGAUAUGAACCGUGGAGGCAUCUCCUGCGGUUGGAAAGAAUUUCGGUCAAGGAUGGACUCGCGGCCUAUCAGGUAGUUGGUGAGGUAACGGCUCACCAAGCCGACGACGGGUAGCCGGCCUGAGAGGGUGACCGGCCACACUGGGACUGAGACACGGCCCAGACUCCUACGGGAGGCAGCAGUGGGGAAUAUUGCACAAUGGGCGAAAGCCUGAUGCAGCAACGCCGCGUGAGGGACGACGGCCUUCGGGUUGUAAACCUCUUUUAGCAGGGAAGAAGCGAAAGUGACGGUACCUGCAGAAAAAGCACCGGCUAACUACGUGCCAGCAGCCGCGGUAAUACGUAGGGUGCAAGCGUUGUCCGGAAUUAUUGGGCGUAAAGAGCUCGUAGGCGGUUUGUCGCGUCUGCUGUGAAAACGCGAGGCUCAACCUCGCGCCUGCAGUGGGUACGGGCAGACUAGAGUGCGGUAGGGGAGAUUGGAAUUCCUGGUGUAGCGGUGGAAUGCGCAGAUAUCAGGAGGAACACCGAUGGCGAAGGCAGAUCUCUGGGCCGUAACUGACGCUGAGGAGCGAAAGCGUGGGGAGCGAACAGGAUUAGAUACCCUGGUAGUCCACGCCGUAAACGUUGGGAACUAGAUGUGGGGACCAUUCCACGGUCUCCGUGUCGC
rnacentral:rRNA from 1 species